rnacentral:rRNA from 1 species
UGGGGGAUAUUGCACAAUGGGCGAAAGCCUGAUGCAGCGACGCCGCGUGGGGGAUGAAGGCUUUCGGGUUGUAAACCUCUUUCGCUAUCGAACAAGGCCCGCUUAGGGUGGGUUGAGGGUAGGUGGAGAAGAAGCGCCGGCUAACUACGUGCCAGCAGCCGCGGUAAUACGUAGGGCGCGAGCGUUGUCCGGAAUUAUUGAGCGUAAAGGGCUUGUAGGCGGCUUGUUGCGCCUGCUGUGAAAACGCGGGGCUUAACUUCGCGCGUGCAGUGGGUACGGGCAGGCUUGAGUGUGGUAGGGGUGACUGGAAUUCCAGGUGUAGCGGUGGAAUGCGCAGAUAUCUGGAGGAACACCGAUGGCGAAGGCAGGUCACUGGGCCAUUACUGACGCUGAGGAGCGAAGGCAUGGGUAGCGAACAGG